UUUCUAGCUCAAAGCCUCAAACCAAGUAAACAUGAUAAUAAAAAACAACUAGCUUAGUGCCUUAGUUCGGAAAUUUAAAAUAUAGUCCAUACAAUUGAUUAAACUGCAUAUUUGUAUAACAAAAUAUAUUGAACUUGAAACAACUAGAUAUCAGUACUAGCAUUAAUUAUUGAUCACACUGAAUCAAAUACUUGGCUAUAUGUUCAGUGACCGUUUGUGUAGUUUACAUAGCAUAAACAUUAUCAUUCUUGAAACAAAAAGAGUUACUUUUGCAAUAAAGCCACAUUUGACGUAGCAUAAUAUUAUAAUAAGUGAUUUUGUCGUGUUUCCCCACUAUCAUUACUUCAUUGAAGUAUAAUAAUCUUACAUUAAGACAUUUUUGUCUUUAUUUGUGUUCUGAGUCAAUACUUAUCUGUCAUGACUGACAUUUGAUAAUUUAAUACUAUGUGCUGAUGUGCUCCCAAAAACUCACCGUUAUUAAAAUAUAUAUGAAUUAGAAUAACAAUCAUUAAAACUAAGAACAAGAAAAUGAUCUAUAUUAUGUUAAUUUUAUAAAACAUCCUUUAGAUUUCAUAUGCUUUUAGCUGAGUUUCAAAAUUUUGAAUUGUGUUACUUAUUAACAUCAUUAUGUACAUGUUUGAAAUAAGAUCAAUGCUAGUCUAGCUUUCAAUUAAGACAUCUUUGUCUUUGCAUAUGUUCUAUAACUAAUAUGUAUAUUUUUAUCUGCAAUAUGAUAAUAUAAUAUAACUUAAUUGUUUCAAAAAGUCAUCAUUAUUAUUUAUAAGAAUAAUAAUGACUAAACCUUAAACAAAUAAUAAUGAUGUAGAUAUUGUUAAUUUGAACAAUUUGUAUAAACUUUAAGGUUUUACCUAUUAAAAAACAUAUUUAAUUGAUAGAUUAUAAGACCAUGCGUAAUGGUUAAACACUAUAAUGCCCCCACCAUGGGGCGUUUUGCGCCAUGUGGCGUCCUAGUCAGCAAGGGGGCAUUAUAGCAAAAGUGGUGUAGUGGGUAUAACGCCCCCAUAAUGCCCCAUUCAAUCCUUAAAAAAAAAAAAAAAAAAACAAACAAAGUUAUUUCUUAUUGGUGGGUCAAACAUAAGUCAAACCUCCAACCAAGCAAAAUGGCGUUUUAACAAUCACGCCGGGAGGAUUUUUUUUCAAAAAAAACGCCCCAAAACGCCCCAUGUAAUGGGGGUUUGGGCGUUUUUGGGCGUUAUAAUGCAAUUUUUUUUAAAAAAAAACGCCCCACUACGGGCAGUCUAACGAUCCUUAUUUAUUUAAAGAACAAUUAUAAUAUAAACCUAUUAACUACCUAAACAUGCAUCAUACAUAAUUUGAACCCACAAUCUCUUGGAUAGAGGAGAUACAGCUUGCUACCAGGAUGUCCCUCAGACCAUUGGCGGUCCAGUCAGCUUUUGAGCAUUAUAGGCAUUAUCUUAUAACGGGUGUAGUGUGAUAUGAUUGGCCAAGCCCAACAAAAUUUUGAAGAAAAAUGCCCCUGGGGCGGUAGAGGGGCAUUAUGGGGUUUUUUUUUUUUGUGGUGAGGGGGGGGGGGGGGGACACCAAAAAACCCUGACUACGGGUGGUCUCAGGAGCAAUAGAUUAUAAACAACUAAAGCGAUAAUAAUAC
rnacentral:lncRNA from 1 species